UGGAGGGAUAAUAGAAAUACCUUGAGACAAGAUGAAGGGGUGUAGCUCCUCUCAACCAGAGACGGAGCCUACUUGAGGAUCUCAUGUAGCCCACUCUGACCUUGAACUCACCACGGCGCUGAGACUGGCCUUCCAUUUCUGAUUCUUCUGCCUUCAUAUCCACACGUGCUGGAUUACAGGCGUGGGCUUCGACGUCUGCACCCGACACACAUCGAUUUGUUCACUCUGUGGAUGGUAAAGUGAUGGCUCAGAGAGGCACAUCUCCAAGCACAGCACAGCAGAAACUAUGUCAGUCCAGUGACCCGACUGCUGACCAGGUGUUUGCACAGGGACAAUCUCUGCUGCUGUCCCUAACACCGCCCCCCACCUUUUCAGUCUUGUCUGCCAGGCUAGUGACACUUCUCAGUAAAGCUUGUGUGACCUCUCCUCCCAUCAGUGUCCUCUGGCUCCCAGCGCAUUAACAAACGGCACUUGUGCACCUAACGGUUGGUUUUGCUAAUGCCUGCUGUCUCUCAGAGCAGAAUGGCUCUGGCAGCGUCACUCCGCCCGCUGUGUUUGCACUCCUGGUCUCCAGAUCCCAGCUGACAACUUGAUGUGCUGCACUCCUUUCCAGAGCUCGUACGUUUCAGUACUCCCGUGCUCCAGUGACACUCUCAGCCAGCUUAGGCCUGUCCACCUCACGCGUGCUAGGUCUCCGGCACCACAGGUCAGACCCUGGGAAGUUCACAGCUUACAGAGAAGAAGGACAGAUACCCACAGAUGGUCAGAGACUGAGCCUGGAGGUGCUGCCUGAAGCAGAGAGUCUGUAACAGGGUGCGUCCUCCAGGCCCUCUUUCAUUCCAUUUAAACCCUUUAGGAACGAUCCUGCCUCCGGGUGAAGUGAAGUGAAGCCUCCGGAGAUUCCCUGGUUCUACAGCGCCCUCUUGUGGACAACUGGAGUCUGCCUAUAGAGAAAGCAAAGGGCACUUUCGAUUAGUCAUGGGGGACAGAAGGACACUCAAUUCUUCCGACCAAGUUCUUUCACCUAUGACCAGUGUCUUAGCUCCUUUCCGGGUUAGUUGUAUGUCAACUUGACACAGACUUCAUUCAUCUGGGAAGAGAGACUUGCACUAGCAAAGUGCCCUGUGAUAUUAGCCUAUACAUAAUCCUAUGGGGCAUUUUCUUGAUUAAUGAUUAAUGUGGGAGGACCCAGCCCUCUGUGGGUUAUGCCGCCCCUGGGCUAGAGGUCCUGGAUUGUAUUAAAAAUAAUGGGCUGAGCAGGCUGUGGGGAGCAAGCCAGAAAGCAGCCCUCCUCCACAGGCUGUGCUUCAGUCCCUGCCUCUUGUCCCUGCCCUGACUUCCUUUGGUGACUGACACACUACAAUGUAGAACUGUAAGAUGAAAUAAACCCUUUCCCUCCCAAAGUGCUUUAUUACAGCAACAGGCGCAUAACUAGAUGGUUGUUUUCCAGUUCGUUGAUAGAAAAGACCCUGGCAAAGACAACUUGAAGAAGGAUGGGUUUAUUCUGACUCCCAGUUUGAGGUCCAGCCCAUCACAGCAGGGGAGAAAAUUCCCAUAGGGGGGAACCUGAAGCAGAGGCUCAAACUGAAUAUUCAGUCCAAGAGCAGAGUGCACCUGCAGCUUUCGGGGAGUCUCCUGACUCCAUCUCUUGUCUUGCCCUAAGGCAACUGGGAUUACAGACAUGUGCUAUCAUGUCUGCCUUUGUGUGGGCUCUAGGGGGUCCAAAUUUGGAACCUCAUACACAUGUGGCAAGUGCUUUUACCCACUGUCCCACCUUCGAUUACUGGAGACUGUGGGGAAGGCCCUAGCACCAGGCCUGGCCCCAGCUCCAACAGGCGAAGCUUCGUGCGAGUGAGCCCCUCUUUUCCAAC
rnacentral:lncRNA from 1 species